UGUGAGGCAGACGCUCUAACCAGUCGUCCACCGUGCCGCUUUAUCAUUCUAUUGAAAAACUGAAACCCAAACAACCCAAAGUCAUCAUCAAGUGUGCAAGAAGAUCUUUAAGCACUUUUAAAAAUACCCCUUUUAAUUAAUUAAUGUAUGGUGUCUACUGUCUAAUCUACAUACGUACGUACCUACCUACCUAUCUUCCUGUCACUAUCAUAUAACCUUUUUAAAGUAGCAUUUAGCUAACUUUACUAUUACACAAGUGUAACUACAGUCAAGAUGAAAACGUAACAACAAUAAAGUACAUUUAACUGACCAAAUAAAAGGCAAAGUUGAGUCAUGUGGUUGUUUGUGCCACACACAUUCAUUUUUUGGGGUAAAAAGUCAAACACUGUGACAAAUAAAAAUAAAAAAAAUACAAUCCUGCUUCUGUCUCAACUUUUAUCAAAAGUGACAAUAUUUGGGACUUCAAAUGUGAGUAUUGCAAAAAAAGCCACAAAAAGCCAAAGAUAAACAAAUGGGCAGCAAACCCUUUGAUGUCUACUCAUGACUUUUGUGCUGCAGAAGUCUCUAGUGUAUUCGAGUCUGUAAAUGCAAUUUGAUCUGGGAGCAUGCCUUCAGGGGAGCAAAUCACAUCUGACACAAAACAGACUCACACAAGUGUAUAUUAGUGCACGGGCUGACACUUGACACCUUAACUUAAACAGACGACACAGAACACCUUGCCGAUACGUAGAUCAAGGCCAGAGACAGCAGACGUACGGGUCAAGGAGAUUCCAAAGACAUGUGAGCGUGAAGUAAAGGUGGGAGAAGACCACCCCAUUGAUGAAUAACUGGUGACCUUUAUGGAGGCAAAUCUCACAUCAUCACUCUGCGAAGACGUUUUAUUAGGUAUUGGAUUUUAAAUUCCAAACUGAGGCGGGGAGAGCUGAGAUGAGCCGAAAGCGUGAAGUGGAAAAUCAGCAUUAGUUGACCCGACUUCGUCCAAAGCAAUCUUGUGACCUGUGCGUGCUACAACAGACUGGAUCCAUCAGCUACAGAUGACAGCUAACCUUUCACCCUGAAAUCAGCAAUCAGAGAUCAAUAUUGACUUAAGUCAUGUCAUGCUUUGCUUGCUUGCUUCGCCUUGCUUUUAAUCUGAAUGUCCAACCACAGUUUGUUGUCAUGGCCUACCUGUCAUUAGCAAUGAGGAACAUGUCACAUGAGCUCACAUUGAAACUAUCAGGCACACGGGAAGAUUAUUGGUGCAAUUGAUUUGUUGAUGUGAGCAGCUCCAGGGUUCAAUCUCAGGCCUGAUGGCCAACACGGCACAAAAGUAUAAAACCACCAUCCUCAGAUUGUAUCGUUCAAAGAUGUGAAGGAAUGCACUUUAUAUACGUCAUCAGAACACAUUACAUUUUCAGUAGCAUACUACACAGCACCAGAUUCAUUGACAGUAGGGAGAAAAGAUGGCCGCAGGUUUUAGCAGCUUAGUCCCUGCUGAUCUGCCUUCUGAUCUCAAAUAUGAUAAAAUAUUGAGUUUAUGGGAAAGAUAUUACUGGCCCUAAAUCUGACUCUCUCAAGAAGCUUCCAUAACAUUGUCCCUAAAAAAUUAUUUACUCUAGACCACAAAUUUUCGCACGGAGUUGUAUGAAGCCAAACUGUCUGGUAUAACUGUAUGUUUUAAAAAGAGUUAUGUAAAUAACUUCAAAUUGACUUAUACUAGGUUACAAUUCCACACAGCAGAAAGUCUCCUUCCGAGCAAGCAGAAUCCCCGUCAAACAUCUGCAGUUUAUCGUUCUCAAUGCACUGCAAAAUCUGCAGCCAUCAAUAGGCAUGUGUGCUCAUUUUAAAAUAAAAAGCCACAUGACCCAAAACGUUUUACUGGUUGACUCAAAUGAAUAAAUAAAUACAAAACUCCUCAAAUUGUCUUUGCGUUUUCAUUCGAAUUACAGCCUUUAAUCCUUCAAUGUGGCCUUUAAAUUGUUAUAGGAUGAAAGCUGACUGCUUUGUUGAUCUAACCCUAAACUCUCUUCAUCUUACAACCAGUAUAUCUCUUUUGGGUUCAUAAAAACUGUUAAAUUAUAAACCCUAACUAUCAAUUACGUGGAUGAUUAAUUUUACUUUUAUGUAUCAGCGUAACCACAACGGUGCACGUGUGCUUUUCAUGCAUCAUGCAUCAUCCUAUGAGCACGACCCUCUUCGUGUUUCCUCACCCUCACCUCGCUGACCCCUGAAUCCAGCAGGAUCCAUGACUUUCACCUCUUCAGACCUUACCGGGAGAUGCAUGACUCUGUAUAGUUACCGGAACCCCCGCAAUUUAGUCGGGCAUUAACAUGGAAAUCAUAGGAGGGAAAACACACCGGUUCAAAAAGCGAGCGCUUACUGUCAAGCAUGAAGUCCGCAGCGGACAGACCUUUACACAGAAAUAAAAUGAUUUUGUUUUGACCAUCAGAUGACAACAGUGUUAGGAGGCCUGAAAACUUAAUUUAUUACUCUUGGAAAAUUGGCGAUCCCAUUCAUCUCAUUCAUAAUUUACAAAUACAUAUAUACAAGAAAUAGGAGUACAAACCUUUGCGCAUUCGUGAGUCGUUUAG